GUCAAAUCAAAUGAUCAGUGAAAAAUGGAAUUUUGGAAUUGGUUGCGUGAAACUGUGCUUAGCAUUUAUGGGCAUUCACCAUAUGGUCGGAUUAUUACAUUAUUCACUGGUCCAGCCACUCGAAGUGUACAAGUUGGCUCACAGCGUGGCAUUAACAUUCAGAGUUCACCAAAUAUUAUGAAAACCGCUUCAAUUUGCGCUGUUAUCAGUUUUGUUGGUGGCGUUUUUUGUGGUCCAAUAGGGCUAGCUCUUGGUGGAUUGGUUGGUGGAUUAACCGCUUUCGGAAUAACUAAAUGGCACAAUAGUACGCAUUUCCUUAAUGUUAGAACGGAUGAAGAAUGAAAACAAAGUUUAUUAGUCCUAGAAACGCAUUAAACAAAGUAGUUCAAUGAAAUCACACAGUAGCCAUUCAACGCAACAGUUUCAUUUCAACUUCACUCGUACUGCAGCACUUAUGACUUUCUUGCCUACCAUGGGAGGUAUUUUUGGAGGACCGAUUGGAGUUGUUGUCGCUGGUAUUAUCAGUGCAUGGACCGCUUAUACACGUGGCGAUUGGUCAAAUAUAACAGGAAAGAGCAACUGGACAGAACUUACUUUCUAACCACCGAACUAAAACCUGAAAAUGCUGAAGAAAAAAGGAAAGGUCUAGGUUCUCACAGCAUGAUGAAAAAAACAAUGAAUGCAAGUGCUGACAAGCCACACAUUGACGCAUGUUUAAUGAACGAAACCUUUUUGUAAAAACUCAAUAUGUAAACAAUUUUGCAACGCCAAUAAAAAUUAAUUGUUGAAAGAAGCGCCAA